CCUACGGGAGGCAGCAGUGAGGAAUAUUGGUCAAUGGUCGGGAGACUGAACCAGCCAAGCCGCGUGAGGGAUGAAGGUACAGAGUAUCGUAAACCUCUUUUGUCAGGGAACAAAGGCGGGGACGUGUCCCCGGAUGAGUGUACCUGAAGAAAAAGCAUCGGCUAACACCGUGCCAGCAGCCGCGGUAAUACGGAGGAUGCGAGCGUUAUCCGGAUUUAUUGGGGUUAAAGGGUGCGCAGGCGGUCUGUUAAGUCAGCGGUAAAAGCCCGGGGCUCAACCCCGGCCCGCCGUUGAAACUGGCAGUCUCGAGUGGGAGAGAGGUAUGCGGAAUGCGCGGUGUAGCGGUGAAAUGCAUAGAUAUCGCGCAGAACUCCGAUUGCGAAGGCAGCAUGCCGGCUCCACACUGACGCUGAGGCACGAAAGCGUGGGUAUCGAACAGGAUUAGAUACCCCAGUAGUC
rnacentral:rRNA from 1 species